rnacentral:lncRNA from 1 species
CAGCAACCAAAGUGGGCGUGGCCUGCCUCCUGCGGGGAGCACAAAGCUGUCUUUGCUGGAAUGGAAAGAGAUCUUGUUGUAAGAGGAGCGUUGGAUGAACCAGCCCCAACCCAGGGUCUAGAGUUUGAGGAGUGACAAGGGCAGAUCUCUAAGGAAGCGAAACUCCUCUGAGACCCGACAGGGAACCAGCUUCCUCGAGGAACCUGAGUGAAAGGAGGACCUGUCACCUGAGCCUCCUCAGGUCAUCCAUCGUCCUCGAAGGAUCCAUCCUGAGGCAUCAACUGAAAAUUAUGGCUCCUGAGAAAGAAUAAAGCACACUGUUCACUGCCAGGAUGAGUGUCCCUGUGGCAGCAUCUAGAGCUUGCCUGUUGCUCCUGCUAACGACCUCUGUCCCCCGUGUGGCCCUUUCUUUCUGUCACUUCUGUAGCUGUACUGUUGACAACUCUUCUCUAGGUGUCUCUGAAGCCCUGAAAGGCCUCUCAGCUUGGCAUGGCCCCCCGCCCCGCCCCAGCUCGCUCUCUUGAUGCCCAUGUGUGUGACUUGACAGCAUUCCUGCCUUGCUGGCCCACUGCCCCACUCCAAGGAAGGACGCUCUCAAGGUCCAGGUCCCUGGCAGUGUCAGGGCAACAUCAGUGGAAUGAGAACCCUGCUGAGCACAUGGGGCAGCUGUUUCCGUGGGACCUGCUGUCCUGACCUGGGAGUGCCAUGCUGGGGACAUGCUGAGGACCACAGGAGGUGCAGGAGUGGCCUCCAGGGGCACAGCCCACCUCCACUGACCCCCUGGCUCCCUGAGGCAGAGACACGGGUGCAGAGCUGGCCUAUCACAUGCUCUUUCCUGGUACCCUGAGUUUUUGGGUGAAUGAAGAAAAGGAGGGAGGAGAGAGAGGGUGGUGACUCCUCCAGGGGACAUGCCCCAGGAUCUGAGCUUAGGGUGGAGCUGCUACGCCCUGGCCACCAUGGCUUCUGGUUUUCCAACCUGGUCUCCCCACCCUGUGAAGAGCCCACUAUCACACAUUGUCCUGGC